rnacentral:rRNA from 1 species
CCGCAUAAUGCAGCGGCACCUAAUGGUGACAGUUGUUAAAGCGGGGGAUCGAAAGAUCUCGCGCCUGAAGAGGAGCCUGCGGCGGAUUAGCUAGUUGGUAGGGUAACGGCCUACCAAGGCGACGAUCCGUAGCCGGCCUGAGAGGGCGGUCGGCCACACUGACACUGACAUACGGGUCAGACUCCUACGGGAGGCAGCAGUCGGGAAUUUUGGGCAAUGGGCGAAAGCCUGACCCAGCAACGCCGCGUGAAGGAUGAAAUCCCUCGGGAUGUAAACUUCGCAAGAACGGGAAGAAUAAGCCUAUGUUAAUACCAUAGGCGAUGACGGUACCGUUUGUAAGCUCCGGCUAACUCCGUGCCAGCAGCCGCGGUAAUACGGGGGGAGCAAGCGUUGUUCGGAUUUACUGGGCGUAAAGGGCGCGUAGGCGGCCACCGCAAGUCAGUUGUGAAAUCUCCGAGCUUAACUCGGAAAGGUCAACUGAUACUGCGGGGCUAGAGUGCGGAAGGGGCAACUGGAAUUCUCGGUGUAGCGGUGAAAUGCGUAGAUAUCGAGAGGAACACCUGCGGCGAAGGCGGGUUGCUGGGCCGACACUGACGCUGAGGCGCGAAAGCUAGGGGAGCGAACGGGAUUAGAUACCCCGGUAGUCCUAGCCUUAAACGAUGAAUGCUUGGUGUCUGGGGUUAUAUAGUCCCCGGGUGCCGUCGCUAACGCUUUAAGCAUUCCGCCUGGGGAGUACGGUCGCAAGACUGAAACUUAAAGGAAUUGACGGAAUCGAAUU